CAUUCUUUCACUGCGGACCAUGCUAAAGCAGGCAGUGGACCCUUUGACCCUUGGCCCCUAUUUUGCUGACCCUCCCUGAGCCAGACACCAGGGAAGGGGCACAGGGAGCUGGCUACUUAUUGACAGCUUCAAUUCAUGCAGACUUUCAGGGCUGCUUUUUACUAUCAAAAACAGAAUCUACUUCUCAAUAAGAGAGAUGAUAUAAAUGAUGUCACUUUUACUGGUAAUUUCAAAGUUUGGGUUUAGUCGUGUAGAAGAUUAGCACUGGUUUUCUUUGUCAUAUUAAAUGUGGAAAAUUGCUAAGGGCUAUGGAAUAAAAGCUUUGAUUGACACAUUGUCAAAAGACUAGAAUACACAGGAAUUGUUUAGAUUAGGUUGUGUGGUUUUGUUUUGUUUUUCUUUUUUUUUUUGUCUUUUUAGGGCCCCACUUGCGGCAUACAGAAAUUCCCAGGCUGGGGGUCAAAUCGGAGCUGCAGCUGCCAGCCUACACCACAGCCACAGCAACUCGGGAUCCGAGCCUCAUCUGCAACCUACACCAUAGCUCACAGCAACGUCAGAUCCUUAACUCACUGAGUGAGGCCAGGGACUGAACUCUCGGAUCCUCAUGGAUCUUAGUUGGUUCAUUAACUGCUGAGCCACGAGCCACGAGCCACGACGGGAGCUCCCUAGAUUUGUUUGAUGUAAAAGCUUCAUUUAAGGGAAAGAACUGCUUUCAAGUUCUUCAGCUUUUGUCAUUUCUGUUUUGGUGCAUUGUGUCCCUGUCGGAUGAUUGGUGCAUCUUAGGGUGGUCAUUCAGAGCUGGAAAGUAGAUUGUCUCUAAUGUUUACCCUUUCUUGGCAUUGCAGUUUCCUAAAAAAUCUGAAAUAAGAGCCAAAUGGUCCUCUCUACAGGUGGAGCCAAAAAAAAAAAAAAAAAAAGGAAAGGAAAAAAAGAAUUGAGAGACGAGAUGAAAAUUAUAAGAGGUUGUAUGAGGAUUAGCUAGUUCACGCAAUUGACUUUUGCUCUGCUGGAAUAAUGACAUAAUUUUGAUGGUUGAACCACACGAGGUAAAACACAUGCCAGUACUUGAGCAAUUUUAUGAUUAUCUCCUUGAGAGGAUGGGGUGAAGUAUGAUUCUCCUCUGUGUAAUAGCAUAAUAAUCUGGCUUGAUUCUUUUUAGAAGUCAUUGAGGUAAGUUGAGUUAGUGUUUAAAUAGUGACCUCGAAGACAUGGACAAUGGCGAAGAGGACUCUGCUCGUCCUGAGACUGUGCUGAGCGCCGUGGCUUCUUAAUCAAAGCAACAGUUAGCUCGGACGACCCCUUUCCCCAAGGUUUUAUUUCAUCUUGCGGUGUACAUGGGAGAGCUUCUGAAGAGGCUGAGUGCCAAGCCAGGUGGUUUAGUUCUGUGGCCCACCUUUUUAAGGAGGGGAAAAGGAGAGUAAAUUUUAGCAAGUUUCCUUUUGCUAAACUUUCUUAUUUAGUAGAGUAGUCCCUACAUACAUUCAUAGGAGGUUUUUGAUUUUGUUUUGUUUUAAAUAGCUCAAUUGUAAGAAAAACUAUUGUAUACCCAAUAAAGGGCAACUGUAUAGAAAUGCUGGCCAUUUCCAUCCUUGGCAGUACCAGGUCUCUGAAGGUGUAGGAAGUAUGAAAUACUCCGAGUGAGAGAGUUGAUGAUUUCUGAACUGAAUUGUGGAAUUUGUUGUUUUAAGAAACUCUUGGACUAGGGGAAGAAACCAAAACAAAUCCCAAAACAUUUCCAGUUCAACCCUCCUGCAACCUGGGAUCUUCUGUAAGGCUUUCAGGGUGGAUCCCAGGCUGUGUUGAGGGGCUUAGGAAUUCAGCAGACCUCUGGCUGCUCCUAGUCAUUGUGAGAAUACGUUGUUUACUGCCUGAGCUAUGACAGCAUAGGGUAGUGGUCUUCAGAGUGGGCUGCUGCUUCUCCAAGGAAUAUGAUGUGCAGAAUGAUCCAUUGGGAUGCAGGGGAAGCACCGCAAGUCCUGUUUUAAAGUUUUAGUAGUGGCUGGAUAUAUAUGUGAUUGUGCAUGUUUUGGGAUGUAUGCUUCUUGUCUACUUUGGGAGCUAGGCAGUUGUAAGAACACCCCUACAGUGGCUUAUGCGGCCUCUCUAACCCCUGACCUUACUAUUAGUCAUCUGCUCCCCUCUUCCCCCCUCCCCAUUCCAGCCCAUGUGGCCUUUUUGCUGAUCCUGAAAGGCUUCUGAACCGUGACCCACAGCAGCCUUUGCCCUGGUGGUUCCCUCUGCCUGUAAUGCCCUUCUCCAGAGGCUCCCCUUGAUGCUCUUGGCUAAUGCCCUCACCUCCUCAAAGGCUUUGCUCAAGAGUCGUUUCUCAGUGAGGCCUUUCUUGACCACCUUUUUAAUGCAGCAGCAUACUCUGAAGCCUCCUUGUAUUGCUCUGCUUUUCCUUUUUCCUUAGCACUCACUGCCUUUGGAGAAACUGUAUUAUAUCUGUUGGCUCUUGUUUCCCCAGCAGAAGUAAGAUCCUUGAGGCCAGGACUCGCCUUCUCCUUUGUUCACAGAUGCGUUCCUGUUGCUUAUUAGAACUGUGCCCGUUCAGUACAUUCUGCUGAAUGAUUAAAGCCUCUGGCGCGUAGUAGGCUCAGUAGGCUUCUUUUAAUGAAUGAAUAAAUUAUUUAGGGAAAUUGGAAAUAUAAAAAUGAAUAAAAUAUGCUCUAUGCCCUGAAGUAGUUCUAUGUAGCUGUGAAGACCAAACAUAAGAAAAUAAUUUUCAACUUGUGAGACCUGUGUGGUAGAAUCGUGAGGGGGCCGAGGGUGGAAUUGAGCCGAUCGUGACUGACUGUCUGUGGGCGGAGAAGGCAGGCAGACUCAGUGCCUCUGAAAGGGGUGAUGCUAAAUGUAAAAGCUUUAAAUACCCGGGAACCCACGCAAACCUAGAGCUUGUUUAUCCAAUGAGUGUGUAGGAUGGACUUUGAAAUGAGGAUUUUUAACAUCGAGAUUACGGUUUUAUUUUUUAUUUGUUUUUAAAGAAUGAGAUGAAUAAUUGUCUGAUCUUAAGAGAUAGAUCUUGCAGAAAUUUUCAAAUGCAUAUUUUUUUCCUGGGCAAACUAUUCACCAGAAAAGAAAGUGCUUUUCUACACACAUUUACCGACCCUUGGUUCCUUUCUCCCUCUUUCAGCCUGUACUUUCCAUGCCUUGGGCAAAAAGUUUGGGUUAUUUUCACCCACCUGAAAUCCCUAAGUAUUUAUUGGUUAAAAACUCAGAGUAGGUACCUAGCACUGUAAAAGAGUAGUAUCUCUUUAUGAAAAUAUGUAGGGGUGGAAAUUGCUUGCUGGAAAUGCAUUGAUCUC
rnacentral:lncRNA from 1 species